rnacentral:rRNA from 1 species
CGACUGCCCUAUGGGUUGUACACUACUUUUAUAGAGGAAGAAACAGUAUUACGUGUAAUACUCUGACGGUACUCUACGAAUAAGGAUCGGCUAACUCCGUGCCAGCAGCCGCGGUAAUACGGAGGAUCCAAGCGUUAUCCGGAAUCAUUGGGUUUAAAGGGUCCGUAGGCGGGUUUGUAAGUCAGUGGUGAAAGUUUUCGGCUCAACCGGAAAAUUGCCAUUGAUACUGGAAGUCUUGAAUUAUUGUGAAGUGGNUAGAAUAUGUAGUGUAGCGGUGAAAUGCAUAGAUAUUACAUAGAAUACCGAUUGCGAAGGCAGAUCACUAACAAUAUAUUGACGCUAAUGGACGAAAGCGUGGGUAGCGAACAGGAUUAGAUACCCUGGNUAGUCCACGCCGUAAACGAUGGUUACUAGCUGUUCGGAUUUCGAUCUGAGUGGCUAAGCGAAAGUGAUAAGUAACCCACCUGGGGAGUACGUGCGCAAGAAUGAAACU